UUGUAGAAUAUUAGUUAAAUGAGAUUUAAAACUUAUAAAUGGAAAUGUGAGAAAUGUUUACUUAAUAUUAGUGUAAAUUAUUCAAAUUAUAACAUAUUUUUUGUUCCAGGAUUAUCACUGGUGGUGGCGUUCUUUCCUAACAAGUGGCUUUACAGCAGUGUACCUGUUUGUGUACUGCAUCCAUUAUUUUAUCACUAAGUUGAACAUUACUGGCUUCACCUCUACAUUCUUGUACUUUGGCUACACUUUCAUCAUGGUUUUUCUCUUUUUCCUUCUCACAGGAGCUGUUGGAUUUUUUGCCUGUUUUUGGUUUGUGAGGAAAAUCUAUAGUGUAGUGAAGGUUGACUGAUUAUUUCUCAGUUGUAGGGUAAAAAUACAGCACAGAGUGAAGCAGCCACCCAUGUUUACUGUCUGUUCUGAUUCUCUAGAAAAAGUGGAGAGUAGUGAGGUGCAGGGAAUUGUUGAAAGACUCUUAUUAUGGGAGACUUUAAGCUUGAUUAUUGAUUCAAAACCUUCGUUAAUUUAAUGCACUGCAGUGAAAUUGAAAGUGAUUUGUCAGUUACUGUAGCUGUUCUGCUCUCAAAAGCUGUAACUUAAGUAAAAUAUAAAUUGAAUAACAUAUGAAUGAUUAUGUUUUUGUUUUUUUUAACCUGUGUCAGUAACAGGUAAUUCCACUGUAUGGCAAUUAUUUUCUGGUGUUUGUUAUUUCUCAUAUAUAAUCCUGUAUAGGUUAUAUACGUACACACACACGGAGUUGAUAUUUUAAUUGGAUAUCCCAAAAAAUGUUGGUAAUACUUAACAUUUUUCUGAAUUAUUUGCAAAAUUCUGAAUUUGAAGAGAAAAAUGUUUUUUGUUUUUGUCGCAUAUUAUUAUCAUAAAAGAAGAUUAGAAAAAAGGUGAAUUUGUAACUCUUAAAAGUUAGAUUUCAAAUACAUUUAAUUUUUUUUUAGUGUUACUGGUACCUAAAAGAUAUCACUAUCUAUUAUUAAGUAAAAUAUGAGUAAUUCAAAUAUCCUACAGUGUAUUCGUAAUAAUUUGAAAUGAUUAAAAUUGGUAAUUGUUUUCGUAGUGAUGCACUAGAAAUUGAUCUUUGUUCAGUAAUAUGUCCUUUUAAACAUUAAUUCUAAAUUGUUUUGUUUUGAAAACAUCUUAAAUCCUGUGCAUUUUUUAUUGAGCAAAACUUACUUUUGUGUCAGUUUUAUUUUAAGUUGCCAUAAGAAACAGAAACUUUAGGUAUAGGUUGGCAUAAAGCUUAGAUUCCUGUUUACGGUAUCAAAAUGAAGUUUACUUACUGGAACCGUGCUUGUAUCCAUCAAAUUGUGUGCACUCUAGUCUUUCUUCACCAGCAGUUUGUUUCCAGUCACACCACUGAAUGGAACGUAAAUAUUUUAGUGUUAGUUUUCUUUUCAUAUUUGUAGUUCUAAAUACUGAUAACCUGUUUCACUGGUGAUAUUGUUUGGUUUGGGUACUAAUACCUGUAUUGUAAAUAUUACAGGUAUAUAUUUCAUGUGAACUACAGAACUGUUUUCUGCUUUUUUUUAUUCUUAUAUAUUAUUCUCCUUCUGUUGCCCUAAGAGUACGAUAUUGUUUUGGUCAAGGUUUCAGUUUUGUGUCAAACCUUUAAACUGAAGGUUGUUUGUGUACAUUAAAAAUAAUUCCCAUAAUGCAUACAAAAAUAUUGUUAAAUACUAGUUGUUAUGUAUGGUUAUUUUAUAGACAGGUUGCAUAAUUCAGAUUUAAUUAUAUGUACAUUGUUUUGUUACUAUACGUCUGAUGAUUUUUGUUGGCAUUUGUAGUUGUUAUUAGACAUCUUUUUUUUGACAAGAACUAAGCAAUGUGGUGCCACUUCUUGAUAACAGUUUCACACAAACAUACACUUGAAAUUUGAGUUGCAAAUAUUAACCUGGUUUUAGUGUAGUUAUGCAUUUUAUAUAAAAAAAAAGGCUGAAAAUUGAAGUAAAGAAGUUGUUGCUUAAGAAUAAUUGACUCGGGCAAUUAGUCAUUGAGUUACUAACCAAGUUAUUUGAAAAUGAAAAUUCUGUUGUUUUGAACAAGUUGGGAAGUAAUAUGAAGUCUUUCAAUUGCUCUAAUAUCAACUUUUUUUUAUUGAAGCCUGCAGUUAGAUUCAUUAUGUAAUUUCUGUCAAUCUAAUAAUAAAAAGUUUGUACACUA